rnacentral:rRNA from 1 species
GACAGCAGUCGCCACGGUAAUACAGAGGGUGCGAGCGUUAAUCGGAUUUACUGGGCGUAAAGCGUGCGUAGGCGGCUUUUUAAGUCGGAUGUGAAAUCCCUGAGCUUAACUUAGGAAUUGCAUUCGAUACUGGGAAGCUAGAGUAUGGGAGAGGAUGGUAGAAUUCCAGGUGUAGCGGUGAAAUGCGUAGAGAUCUGGAGGAAUACCGAUGGCGAAGGCAGCCAUCUGGCCUAAUACUGACGCUGAGGUACGAAAGCAUGGGGAGCAAACAGGAUUAGAUACCCGCGUAGUCCCUGUCUCUUAUAA